AUGAUCAUUGGCAGCCUCGACAGAUUUAUUACGACCUGGGAGGAGUGGAAAGAACCUUUGAUUGUAGAAGGGGUUCAUUUAAGCCUGAAUUUUGUGAUGGGGCUGACGAAGAAACAUCCCUCAGUGAUACCACUUAUGGUAUACAUCAUGAACAAGGAGAAGCACAUGGAACGGUUUGCGGUCCGCGCAAAGUACAUGACGCUUGACCUGGCGAAGAACAGAUACGUUAAAUACAUCCAGAACAUCAGAGCGAUCCAGGAGUACCUCUGCAACCGGGCCGACAAGCAUCAAGUGCCAAAAAUCAACAACACCAAUGUAGACUGGAAAAUGGCGGCCAUACACGCCACGGUUUUCAUCUGCCUUCGCCGGCGUGAGGCCAGGGAGCAGUUUUAUGACUCGCAUACAAACACUGCAGUUAUGGUGGAUGAGGAGUAUAGGAGCCAGUGCGCCGCAAACUCGUUGAGUUCCAAGGGCAUGUUUCAGUUGAUUCAGAGGCAAGGGUCCUCUAGAAAUCUGAUGGCUCUGCUUAACACUGAUGGUUCAGUUGCUAAGGCAUGGCCCAUGAAUGCCGGCGACAGCAGUGGAAACAUGAAUGAUGGCAGCAGUGAGAAAUCCGUUGGAAAUCCUAUGUAUGGCCCUUAG
rnacentral:rRNA from 1 species